AACCUUUAUCGUUCCUGCCGAAUUCCUUAGCCAUCCUGGAAACCAUGCCAGAGAAUGCAAGAAAAGAAGCUGAGAGCAUCUUCAGAUGCACCUUGGGAGGAUGAUUUCCGCUUGCCAUCAAGCGUUCGCCCCAGCCACUAUGAUCUCUAUCUGCAUCCUGAUCUCAGUUCAAAGAUGUUUACGGGUUCUUUGACAAUUACUCUUGAUUCGUUGGAGAGUCGGGACUACUUUCUUCUCCACACGAAGUGGCUGAGAAUGUUUAUGAUACAAAGAUCUCAAGAGUUGAAAGUGGACACAAUCAGGAGGUAGAAAUUAUCGAGGAGUUUGAAUACGAGCCAAAUGAAUUCUGGGUGAUGAAGGUGCCACUGCAGGAAGCAGGGGUAUUCCAGAUUUCUAUGAAGUCUCUGGAUCUCUUACCAGAGCUAUUCUGGGAUUUUAUUACUCAGA